AAUUCUUCAAAGAGGAGAAGAGGAAAAGAGUUGCUACCCUGCAUCAGGUCAUGCUCUACAAGAUGGGCCACCAUAACUGAGUGACACCUGGCCAUAUUUCUUCUUAAGGAAAAUAAAAAUCCAUUGUUAAAAUCACCGUUGCUCUAGAUGCCUACUGCUAAUGUGCUUCUGGAGGAACAGUUUUCAAAUGAGAAGUAACAGGAGCCGCUCUGAUUGAAACAAACUGGUGUUGAUUGCAGAUCAGCCAUCUGUAAAGGAGGCCACCUCGGGAAGGGUGUGAACUAAUGAAAAGAUGGGCCUGAUUUGGGAGCGUGAUGGGCUUUGUGCCACCGGCCUCUGUGAGUGGCAUGAGAUUAUAGCAGUGCGAGGAGAGGUAGAUUGAGAAUAAGUAACUUGUGUCUUAAAGAUUAAAUGGCAAAUUUGCUAUUAAAUGUGAAAGACAUAAAAUGGAAUUAUUGCUUUGAGGACGUUAGCUGUGGCCAUACCCACUCGCAGAGAGCGUGACGACCUGUCCUCCUGUCAACAACGCACCCAUCCCAGCAUGCCGAUUACAGGCCUGGAGAACAGAGUGGUGAACCCUGGGAGUGGCCCACACAGCACCUUCUUCGCAAGGCACUUCCUAUGGCCUCCCUUCCUCCAGUGACCUUCCAGACUGCAAGCAUGCUCACAGAAAUCCUGGGACUGCCACAUCGAGCCUUCUGCGUUCAGGCUGACAAACGUCCCUGGGUUGGAGGAGCUGACUGGCUGGCGCUGCCUUGUGACCAUGUGCCAUGCUGCCAUACCCAAGGGGGCACAGGCGAGGCAGCCAGGUGCACAAGAGUUGUGAUGCCAUGUCAGACACUAAAAACGCAACCAUUUCCCAACCAUGAGACUUCCUGGCAACUUGUCCAGCUCACCUUGGCCUGGAUCUUCUCCUCACAGAGGAGAUCAUGUAGAGAGAAAGAACAUCUAAAUAAAUGCAAGCCCAUUAGCCAACCAACUGACCGAUGGGCCCGGCUUUCCAAACAACCAUGGGCAACAAUAAGAUUAGAAAACAAAAUAUUGUUAGAUCAAAUGAGCUCAGAAAGAACUGAGGGUCUGACUGCAUGAGAUAGUUAAGAACUUUGGGAGGCCCCUGUGUCAACCACUGGCUUCCAAUAACUCCACAUGAAUGUAAGACUCCCAGCGUCAAGGGAGGGAUGCUCCCCCUGUGCAGCUGUAUCCUAGCAAUGCUCUCCCUCUCAUGGCUGCACGGAUAUUGAUGAUAAUGAAGCAUGCUGCACACAGGUGUGCUGUGCUCGUAUCUGCUGCCCCUGGACAGCUGCUGUGGUUACGUGAUAUCUCAACCAGUGUGGCAGGUGAAGGCACGCACCCUUCCCUGGAGUGACAAUGGCACCCUCCUUGCCCUUCCCCCAGCGUGGUCCCCCCUAGACCUCCCCUGACUACUGCAGCCGUUCCUGCUGAGCGCCGAGCAUGCCUGCAGCUCUGCAGUGGCCAUGUGUCCACCGGGGGCUCCGGCCUGCCAUCCCAUCCAACAAUGACUCUCCAGGUGGGGGGAGAGGGCACCAAGGGCACUGCCGCAAAUCCUGCGUCCUUGAUAUCAUCUUGACCUACUGAGAUGCUACUGCUGUUAGCCAGCUCCAGGAUGCAACCCCUAGAUACUUGCAUGUAUUUUAAACCAGAAAAAAAAAUCAGUUGGAAGGUGACAGCUUCCAGAAUCUGGAUCUUAUGCAGUCACACCUGGAAGGAAGGAGGUCUGAGGCCCAUUGGACUGCAUUUGCCUGCAAUCUGUGGCUAGUACUUAAAGGAAGGGGCCAGAACUAGGGUUGGAAUGUGGAACAUUUGAGGUCGCUCUUCACCCUGGUGAUCUUUGCCAAUCAACAGAGGCUUUGAGUAAGCAAUCAGCCCAAAAGCAAUUCAGAAGGGAGGCAACUUAAACAAAUAAAAUAAAUAAAUUCAAAAGGCAAAGCAGCUAAAUAUGAGAAGAAAACAGCGUCGGCUAAUGGUGGGGAUUUAUGAGCAUGAGCUGUGGUUUGAAUCUUAUACGGGGUUAUAAAUAAAGAUGCUGAUGAAAAGCAGAAGUCCUUCCCUAUGUCCACAUCCGUGGUGUUCCUAAAUACUUAUCUCUGGAAUCUGCUGGAAUGUCUAAAGCUGCUAGUCACAUGGACCUGGCUCAAAGUCAUGAUUAGCAGAUGUCCCGUGAGCCACCUUUGCUAGUGUGAGGACAAGUUCAAAUAGCACCAGGGCCUUCUCUCUCUCUCUCUCUCUCUCUCUCUCAUUCUCUCUCUCUCUCUCUCUCUCUCAGAAAUAUUUGGACUAGAAAUGGUUUGGGUCUUGGUGCUAUUAACUGCAUAAUGCAAUGUAACACAGGCUCUAAUUGCUCACAUCUGAUAUUCCAUUUAGAUACAACAAUAGAAAUGUCAAGUUUACCUGUGAUAAAGAAACAGAAAUGUCAUUAGUAGAUUUCCAAAUAAUUUGUCCCUGUGAUUUUUAGCAAUAAAUAACACAGACCUCUCUGUUGCAAAAACUGGCAUCCUGCUUACCUGUUUUCUUCUCUUUUGUCAAUUGUUU
rnacentral:lncRNA from 1 species